UCCAAAGACGUGUCCCCAGGCUUGCUUUCAUUUUGACAAUGAGUCAAGAGGGGUGUAAUAUCCUCUUGAACUAAACAGAGAAUCCCUUCACUUGCAGAGAAACAUCACCUUCAUCAAAAAUCCAGCUGUACGAGACACCAUCCUGAACCUGACCCUGACGGCCCUUGCUCCUGAAUUUGAAGACUUUGAGCCUGAAGACUUUGAGCUGUGGUUCCAGGUCAAUUUGGCCACUGUGAUGGCCAGCCUCCAUCCUGGCAGCUUGGCAGUGAUCCCCAGCAACAUCAGCUGUGAAUCCUAUGCAGCUAUACUCACUGGUCUUCGAAAAAGCUUGAAAUCCCUGCCACUGGACAUUUCAGAUGGUCUGAGAUCGGGCAUAGAGUCAUUCAAGGAGACCUUCCCACGUACGUUGACAUCGUUUUUUCAGACAAGCCGAUUACGACUGCUUGUGUUGAUAGCUGCAUUGAUGCCAUGCCUUCUUUCCAUUUUUGCCCCAAACAGGUUGCGCAGUUGC
rnacentral:lncRNA from 1 species